UACGUAGGGGUGAGCGUUGUCCGGAAUCAUUGGGCGUAAAGCGCGCGUAGGCGGCCCGGUAAGUCCGCUGUAAAAGUCAAAGGCUUAACCUUUGAAUGUCAGUGGAUACUGCCGGGCUAGAGUCCGGAAGAGGCGAGUGGAACUCCUGGUGGUAGCGGUGAAAUGCGCAGAUAUCAGGAAGAACACCUAUGGCGAAGGCAGCUCUCUGGGACGGUACUGACGCUGAGGAGCGAAAGCGUGGGGAGCGAACAGG
rnacentral:rRNA from 1 species